GGUCUCGCUAGGCGCUAUUUGGAACGAGUCCGGCGAAGAAUGCAGCAGCAUCGGCGCUAGCUGCAGGAUCACCCUCGUCUGGACCGCAGCGUGGCUCAGCAUCUCGCAGUGCCUACCCGAGCCGCUCGCCGACGCUACCGACGCCGACUGCCGCGCAGAUGGUGAUGCUGACGCUAGCGGGCGACGCGCCUUCUCCGCGCCUGCGCUCUUCGCAAAGAGGGGGCCGGCCCGUUUCACCUGUUGCUGCUUCCGCCGCCGCCGCCGCCGCUGCCGCCUGCCCUGCUGGUGGUGGUCGUGACGUCACACGGCGCGCACGCCGCCUGCGCCUGCAGCCACCGCGAAAGCCCCGGUACAGCACUUGCCACCCUUUCUCCGUUGUCCUAAGGCGUGUGAGAAGGAGCUUGUAGGUCAGCGCGAAUGAGGUGGGAGUGAGUAAAGGGAUAGAUCUGGAAGUGGAUGCGCGGGCUCGCGAAGGCAACCAGUUUCCUGGAACCAGUAGCCGGCCACGGCUGCCUCUCUCGGCUUCCGCCAGCCACUUCGCUCGCCGCCCGCUUCCUGUUCUGGACCACUCGCCGAGGCGCCAAAUUCCGCAGUUGCACGACCCGACCCGCGAGACCUGCUCCCGUUGCCACCCACAGGUUCCGCCGGCCUCUGCAGACUUGCCGGCCAGUCCAGCGGCUACCGGUUCGCCUCUGACCAGAGUCGAAGCGGCCGCUCGGCUACGCUCAGUCGGCGACCACGCUCCACGGAGCGAAGGUCGAGGCGUGGGCCCCCCCGUGCGGAAGGCGUCUUCAGACGUGACGACUCUUCCGCGUUGGUUCAUUCAUCGUUCUUUUGAAAAUCGAAAUUUUUCCUUCAGAGUGACACCGAGUCAUUCCUCUCAAUUUCUUCUUUUUGUUGGCAAUACCGUAUUGGUAAGCCACUAACAAUUGAGUCUCAUUCCAGUUCUCUCUACUUCACAAUCAACAAACGAGGAAUAAUUUUUCUUUCCGAGAACAAGAUUAGGCUUUAACAUCCCGUCAUCGAUAUGACCACUAUCGGCGGAGCAUCACCAAGUAUUGCACAAGGAUAGAGAAAUGUGCCGUGGGUACACUAGGCUACCUUAACCACUGCAUCACGUGUUAAUUUGGGGAUGUGACAAUGUUUAAUUUCGUUCAAACAACAAAGCUGUUUGGUGAACUGUUAUUUAAUUUAUGGGGCCGCUGAGGGAGCGAAAAGGGUAUAUCUGAAAAACAUUGAAAGAUAAAAUUCUUAAUAUCCACGCGCUGCCGCACCAGUGUUCUUUGAAUGCAGUCGAAUUAAUUAAGCCAGAUAUGGAUCCAACACUAUUGAACAUGAUACCAAUACAGGUCGAGAAUGUGGUUUGUGAACAAGCAUUUUCGUGGACAAACUGCGACUUCCCCCACAACCAGGUGUAACUGACUCUUCAGCUUUGUAUUAUUAAGUCAAUUCCCGUGUUAGAUCCAAUUUCUGACGAAGGUUUUUGAUGAAAGGGAUAUAAGGUACGUUGGCGUGUAACUUUAUUUUGAAAGGCCCUCUAAACCCGGCUCCGUGUGUAAUGGUGCCGUUUAAGGGGUCGAAUUGCGAGCUGGAUGUGUGGUUGAAAGGUUCGUAAUUGGGAAUAACUGUGAAAGGACUUCCAGUUCCAGCGUUCGACAGAUAACCAAGGGAAGUUUCUCGAAAAUCUUGAUCGGAACCGCAAAAUUUGAACUGAUUUGAUGGAAUUUCUUCUGGUGACGCUCCAGAGCUACUAAUUAUUUCAAAAAGGGAGCAACGAAGGCCGAAAAGUUAGGAAAAAAUCUUUACAUUCGGCGUAGUCCAUUAACAUAAUGUUACCAGUGGGCUGCACGAACUAUACAGAUACAUAUACAGAUAUUUGAAAUGUGUAAUGCUCCACGCUAUAUGAUGACAGUGGUUCGUAGUAGAAAGCCGGUAUGACUGUCGUCUAGAUGAUAUAAUGAUCUCGAGGCUUGUUGUACAAUAAAUAAAAUAAUAAUGCAGUUAUUUGGCAGUUUUGUCUUCCUUUUCCAGAAGCUAUUUUUAGUUUCAGUACAAUACAACAGUUAAUACUGCAACGGCCCUUACUGGAUAUGCCACCUGCCAGCGUAUGUGAAAGCUGCGCUUCAAGUUUUGCCCUUGAAUCUAUAUUGUAACGAAAUUUUCUGGCUGAGGAACUGUAAAGUAUGUUGACAUUGAAAUUUUUUGUAUGGCUCACUUAAGAGGCAUUCGUUCGUCAUCUUGCCGUUAGGAGCCGUUAUUUUCUGUCUCGCUAUGUCAUUUGAUGUGGGAAAGUAUUCGUAGUACGUAGGGGAAAAAGAUCAGUCCAAGUUAUCCUUUGAGGAAGCAAACAAAAUACCUGCCAACUAGAAGAAUUGUCGAAGAGACAGAGGUGUAGUCCGUUGGUCGGAAGUGAAAGGUCACCCCUUUGAAAUUUCGUCUGUAAGAUUUGGGCACGGAGCAGUAAGGGACCGGCGGGAAACUAGUGGGCUGAGGCGAUGGUCGAAAAAUCCCGGCCCGUCUAUUGUACGGGUGGUGGCAGGUUCCCGUUAACCCUUCUCGGAAGGUCACGCCAGCCUCCAACAGAGAACACGUUCUUUCCUUUAAACGCGGCUCCGAUUUACGUUGGGCGCCAACGGAUGGUCAGUCACCAGCAGCGGGCAGGCAGCCGCCUUCCCACGGCAGAACUCGUCCAGUUGGUCAUCUGCAGGUAGGGCCCAGUGGUCGCGGCGGGGAAACAGGUUAGUCAGCCAACAGCAGUAUCGCACCAUCUAGGGCUGCCGCUCCGCUUUGAAUAAACUGCCGGCGGCCGAUGGAUAUUAAGUAUUAACCCGAUCCGGCCCUGCCCAGCUCAGCGCUAGCCCUUUGGCCGCGGAACUGGACUGUCCAGUCUCCGACUCACGGAGGCCCAGCUGGUCAUCGCAACCCCUUCGUGCCGGCAGGUUCUCACGGGCGCCUCCCUCCGCAACCGGACUGUCCAGUCGGGAGCAAAGGCGGAUGGCGCGCCCCUUUGAUCCCGUGGUCACUCGGAUCCCAUUCAGAGGCCGGUGGCAGUGUAGCCGCCGCUGCCGCAGUUGUAGCGGAACCGGGUCGUCCUGUUAGAGGCAGGCGGUUUAUAUUAAAAGCGCGAGCGUGAGGAGGCAAGUGGUCACUCGCUGACCGGUUCGGCCGCGCCCUUUGUCAUUGAAAUGCGCGCGCGUGUGUGUGCGCCCCUGCCCGCGCGCGCAUCUCUGUGGGAAGCGCAACAGGCGACGCGCCGGCACCUGGGCCGCGAUGCGACUCGUGGUCACAGCUGAAUCCUUUCGGACCGCCACCGUAUCUGUUGGGCCCUUGUGCCCAAUUUCAUUCUUUCGAGCUCACUGGGAAGUAGCCGUUACGUCGCGGUCCGGAGAUGACCGUUGAAGAUCGCGAUGUACUAACGAAAACCUCUAAUUGUUGUGAAGAAGAAUAUACCUGCUUCUUGGCGACGGUUCGUUACUUCUUGUGUGACCUACUACGGUUCGGUGGACGAUCACAUGUCUUCAGUUAACGGUCCCGUGACUUAAACCUCAUUGCGAACACUACCAUAUACCUUACGUAAAAAAGACUUAACGAAAAGCGUGAACAUCUUGGGAAUUUCAAAUCAAAUAAAUAACUCGGGGCAAGACUCACAAGCGAUAACGUAAAAUCAUUAUUGCCGAAGUAGAAUCGAGAUUUAAAUUUGUAAGAAGAGUCCUGAAAAGAGCGUUACAUCUCCAGCCCGAUCGUCCUUAUUUUCCAGUAUUCUUACCCGAUGUAGUCUCCUUAAAUGUCUUUUUUCCAAAACUAACUAUAUCAAGAAACAUCGUUUUGCAGGCUUAGAAAUUCUUCUCUUAUCUGCCACUGUUAUUAUUGUUAUUAACGUCACAAUAAUUUUCAUUAUUAUUAUUAUUAUUAUAAAGUUAUUAUAUUAUUAUUAUUACUGUUAUCACUAUUAGUGGCUGCAGCUGUAGUAACACAAGUAAUGCCAGUAUUAAAUUUGUUACUUCACAGUCAGUGCACUUUACAAACACAGACAUUCAAAUCAUUUUAAUAUUAAACUUCCUGGCAGAUUAAAACUGUGUGCCCGACCGAAACUCGAACUCGGGACCUUUGCCUUUCGCGGGCAAGU